rnacentral:rRNA from 1 species
GACAGAGGAUGCAAGCGUUAUCCGGAAUGAUUGGGCGUAAAGCGUCUGUAGGUGGCUUUCAAGUCCGCCGUCAAAUCCCAGGGCUCAACCCUGGACAGGCGGUGGAACUACCAAGCUGGAGUACGGUAGGGGCAGAGGGAAUUUCCGGUGGAGCGGUGAAAUGCAUUGAGAUCGGAAGACACCAACGGCGAAGCACUCUG